rnacentral:rRNA from 1 species
AUUGAACGCUGGCGGUAGGCCUAACACAUGCAAGUCGAACGGCAGCAGAGUAAUUGCUUGCGCUUACGGGUGCCGAGGGGCGGGUAGUUGCGAGAUACAUCGGAAUCUACUUUUUCUUGGGGGCGAACGUGGGGGAACUUACCCCAAUAGUGCUUACGACCAACGUGUGAGAGCUUCGGACCUUCCGCUCUCGCGUGAGUCGAUGUCGGAUUAGCUAGUUGGCGGGGUAAAGGGCCACCAAGGCGACGAUCCGUAGCUGGUCUGAGAGGAUGAUCAGCCACACUGGAACUGAGACACGGUCCAGACUCCUACGGGAGGCAGCAGUGGGGAAUAUUGGACAAUGGGCGCAAGCCUGAUCCAGCCAUACCGCGUGGGUGAAGAAGGCCUUCGGGUUGUAAAGCCCUUUUGUUGGGAAAGAAAAGCAGCAGGUUAAUACCCCGCUGUUCUGACGGUACCCAAAGAAUAAGCACCGGCUAACUUCGUG